rnacentral:rRNA from 1 species
UUUUAACACCCAUGAGACGCAAGUAACCUGACUGGUGGGAUGGCUUAUGCCUGCACCAUCGACCGACCAUGAUCUUCUGUGAAAGGUUUGAGUACGAGCAUACCUGUUGGGACCCGAAAGAUGGUGAACUAUGCCUGAGCAGGGCGAAGCCAGAGGAAACUCUGGUGGAGGCUCGUAGAUGUGCUGACGUGCAAAUCGCUUUUCGGACUUGGGUAUAGGGGCGAAAGACUAAUCGAACCAUCUAGUAGCUGGUUCCCUCCGAAGUUUCCCCCAGGAUAGCUGGAGCUUGAUCAGUUUUAUCGGGUAAAGCGAAUGAUUAGAGGUACCGGGGAUGAAACAUCCUCGACCUAUUCUCAAACUUUAAAUAGGUAAGACGUCUGGGUUGCUUAAUUGAACCCAGGCAUUCAAUGAGAGCUCCAAGUGGGCCAUUUUUGGUAAGCAGAACUGGCGAUGCGGGAUGAACCGAAAGCUGAGUUAAGGCAAG